UAGUAGACCUUACUUAAACAUGAUCUUUAGGGUUUGUAAUUGUAAUGACCUUACGGUCAUUUUCCUAUAUUUUCAUAUAAUUUUAGUACUAUCUAAAUGUAUCGUGAAUUAUUUAAUUUAAUUUGACAUUGGUAGAAAUAUAAUUUAGUACCCUUCUAGAAUAUUUUCGAUAUUGCUAAAAUUCUUUAAGUGAUGAUAUAUUUAUAUUACUUUAUAAUUGACUUUUAUGAUUUAUUAAUAUUUUAAGCGGAGAUAGUAAUUUUAGAAAUAUUAAAAUAUUCUCUCGAAUGCUACGAAGUGUGCUAUCCUCGAACUGACGACUCCAAAUCUGCUCCAAUAAGGAAAUCUUGCCACAAACCCAGCUAUAUCUCUCCCCAUACCACUCCACUAGUAAUGCUGCUUCAAAUCCCUAUACAUCUUAGCUAUUUCGGGAUGAAUAGAGUAUCUGGAGCUAUGAGCCAGGAUAUAAAAUUGGGUGGAGCCUGGGUUGUCCCCUGGACUACCUGGUGAUGUGGCGUCACCGUCCAGUUGAGGAGGCUACCUAGGAAAUCGAGCAUGAUAUGCGCGUCCAGUACCCAAACCUGUUUGAGCCUUCAGAUCCGGGUACUAGCAGUUGACGUUGACGUAAUUCCUACCUUCGAGUACUGAUUCAGAGCAGAGGGAGUUUGCUGUCGUCUGAGGCUGAUCCUCUUUUAUCUAUUUUAGUUUGCCUUUUGCACUUGAGACUGUUUGUGUAUAUUAUGUACAUUUUAGAUUUUUGUCUAGUCUCUGGGUACCUGUUAGUAGUGGCUUUAGUACUGACCUUAUCAGGUCUUGAGAGGGAUUUAUUUGUAUAGUUGGUCCUUUUUCCUUCUCCCGUUUGGAUAUAAUAUAUAUGCUCUCUUCUUGAUUUUCACUUA